UCCUACGGGACGCAGCAGUGAGGAAUAUUGGUCAAUGGUCGGGAGACUGAACCAGCCAAGCCGCGUGAGGGAUGAAGGUACAGAGUAUCGUAAACCUCUUUUGUCGGGGAGCAAGGCCCGCCACGUGUGGCGGGAAGGAGAGUACCCGAAGAAAAAGCAUCGGCUAACUCCGUGCCAGCAGCCGCGGUAAUACGGAGGAUGCGGGCGUUAUCCGGAUUUAUUGGGUUUAAAGGGUGCGUAGGCGGAAGGUUAAGUCAGCGGUCAAAUGUCGGUGCUCAACACCGGCCUGCCGUUGAAACUGGUCU
rnacentral:rRNA from 1 species